UACGUAGGGAGCAAGCGUUGUUCGGAUUUACUGGGCGUAAAGGGCGCGUAGGCGGCCUUUCCAGUCAGCUGUGAAAUCUCCGGGCUUAACUCGGAACGGUCAGCUGAUACUGCUUUGCUAGAGUGCGGAAGGGGCAAUCGGAAUUCUCGGUGUAGCGGUGAAAUGCGUAGAUAUCGAGAGGAACACCUGAGGUGAAGACGGGUUGCUGGGCCGACACUGACGCUGACAGCGCGAAAGCCAGGGGAGCAAACGGG
rnacentral:rRNA from 1 species